UACGUGAAACCGUUCAGGGGUAAACCUGAGAAACCCGAAAGUUCGAAAGCGCGAGAUUCAUCGCGUUUCGACGUGUCGUCGGGACGACGUACGGACGUUGAUCGUUCUCUUCUCACGCUCUUCGGGGUGUGGGCGAGAUGCUUCGAUUGCGCCGUGCGUUUCUCGUUUUUCGAUCGUCGAACGCGUGCACUUCUCCGCCUGUAGGACGUCGCGACCCGUUGGGCGUCGGUCUACGAUUUGUGGUGCAGCCCGCAUGGCGGUGGUCGUCUCAACAACGAUCAUCUAGUCCGUGCGAACCCACAAUAUCCGGCCGGCUCGCUCGACGGUAACUACGAAGGGCGCGGGGCCGCGACUUGUUCGCGUCCGGCCCGUCGCAAGCACAUACGGUAAUUGUGCGGCUUCGGCGAUCUUGUGUCGCCGACCGUCGAUCCGGAUGUCUGUUAGCGACGGAGUCCUCGGACCGACUCCGCAUUCACGCCCGUCUGCGACGCUAUUGUUUUGGGUACUUUCAGGACCCGUCUUGAAACACGGACCAAGGAGUCUAGCAUGUUCGCAAGUCUUUGGGUUCAUUCUCGAAUCCUAUAGGCUUAAUGAAAGUGAAGGUCCGCCUUUGCGCGCGACCUAGGGAGGAAAGAGAGAGUUUCGACUCUUUCUCGCACUCCCGGGGCGUCUCGAUCUCAUUGCGAGAUGAGGCGCACCUAGAGCGUACACGCUGGGACCCGAAAGAUGGUGAACUAUGCCUGGUCAGGACGAAGUCAGGGGAAACCCUGAUGGAGGUCCGUAGCGAUUCUGACGUGCAAAUCGAUCGUCGGAA
rnacentral:rRNA from 1 species